UUCGAUUCGCCGACCUCAGAGCAGGUGAGACCACCCGCUGAAUUUAAGCAUAUUAAUAAGCGGAGGAAAAGAAAUUACCC
rnacentral:rRNA from 1 species